rnacentral:rRNA from 1 species
UACGGGGGGGGCAAGCGUUGUUCGGAAUUACUGGGCGUAAAGGGCGCGUAGGCGGCGCGGGCAGUCAACGGUGAAAGCUCGGGGCUCAACUCCGAGUCGGCCGUCGAUACUCCCGUGCUUGAGCACUGUAGAGGCAGGUGGAAUUCCGGGUGUAGCGGUGGAAUGCGUAGAGAUCCGGAAGAACACCGGUGGCGAAGGCGGCCUGCUGGGCAGUAGCUGACGCUGAUGCGCGACAGCGUGGGGAGCAAACAGG